rnacentral:rRNA from 1 species
UUAUAAGAGACAGCAGUCGCCGCGGUAAUACGAAGGGUGCAAGCGUUACUCGGAAUUACUGGGCGUAAAGCGUGCGUAGGUGGUGGUUUAAGUCCGUUGUGAAAGCCCUGGGCUCAACCUGGGAAUUGCAGUGGAUACUGGGUCACUAGAGAGUGGUAGAGGAUAGUGGAAUUUCCGGUGUAGCAGUGAAAUGCGUAGAGAUCGGAAGGAACAUCUGUGGCGAAGGCGACUAUCUGGGCCAACACUGACACUGAGGCACGAAAGCGUGGGGAGCAAACAGGAUUAGAUACCCCCGUAGUCCCUGUCUCUUAUAC